GACGAACGCUGGCGGCGUGCCUAAUACAUGCAAGUAGAACGCACAGUUUAUACCGUAGCUUGCUACACCAUACACUGUGAGUUGCGAACGGGUGAGUAACGCGUAGGUAACCUGCCUGGUAGCGGGGGAUAACUAUUGGAAACGAUAGCUAAUACCGCAUAAUAUUGAUUAUUGCAUGAUAAUUGAUUGAAAGAUGCUAUUGCAUCACUACCAGAUGGACCUGCGUUGUAUUAGCUAGUAGGUGAGGUAACGGCUCACCUAGGCGACGAUACAUAGCCGACCUGAGAGGGUGAUCGGCCACACUGGGACUGAGACACGGCCCAGACUCCUACGGGAGGCAGCAGUAGGGAAUCUUCGGCAAUGGACGAAAGUCUGACCGAGCAACGCCGCGGGAGUGAAGAAGGUUUUCGGAUCGUAAAGCUCUGUUGUAAGAGAAGAACGGGUGUGAGAGUGGAAAGUUCACACUGUGACGGUAUCUUACCAGAAAGGGACGGCUAACUACGUG
rnacentral:rRNA from 1 species